rnacentral:rRNA from 1 species
AUGAACGCUGGCUACAGGCUUAACACAUGCAAGUCGAGGGGAAACGACGGGGAAGCUUGCUUCCCCGGGCGUCGACCGGCGCACGGGUGAGUAACGCGUAUCCAACCUGCCUCUGACUGAGGGAUAACCCGUCGAAAGUCGGCCUAAUACCUCAUGGUAUCGUCUGCGGGCAUCCAACGACGAUUAAAGAUUUCAUCGGUCAGGGAUGGGGAUGCGUCUGAUUAGCUUGUUGGCGGGGUAACGGCCCACCAAGGCUACGAUCAGUAGGGGUUCUGAGAGGAAGGUCCCCCACAUUGGAACUGAGACACGGUCCAAACUCCUACGGGAGGCAGCAGUGAGGAAUAUUGGUCAAUGGGCGAGAGCCUGAACCAGCCAAGUAGCGUGCAGGAAGACGGCCCUAUGGGUUGUAAACUGCUUUUAUGCGGGGAUAAAGUGAGGGACGUGUCCCUCAUUGCAGGUACCGCAUGAAUAAGAACCGGCUAAGUCCGUG